GAUGAACGCUGGCGGCGUGCCUAAUACAUGCAAGUCGAGCGAACGGACGAGAAGCUUGCUUCUCUGAUGUUAGCGGCGGACGGGUGAGUAACACGUGGAUAACCUACCUAUAAGACUUGGAUAACUUCGGGAAACCGGAGCUAAUACCGGAUGAUAUUUUGAACCGCAUGGUUCAAAAGUGAAAGACGGUCUUGCUGUCACUUAUAGAUGGAUCCGCGCUGCAUUAGCUAGUUGGUAAGGUAACGGCUUACCAAGGCAACGAUGCAUAGCCGACCUGAGAGGGUGAUCGGCCACACUGGAACUGAGACACGGUCCAGACUCCUACGGGAGGCAGCAGUAGGGAAUCUUCCGCAAUGGGCGAAAGCCUGACGGAGCAACGCCGCGUGAGUGAUGAAGGUCUUCGGAUCGUAAAACUCUGUUAUUAGGGAAGAACAUAUGUGUAAGUAACUGUGCACAUCUUGACGGUACCUAAUCAGAAAGCCACGGCUAACUACGUG
rnacentral:rRNA from 1 species